rnacentral:misc_RNA from 1 species
GUUUAGCCUUGAUCUAAACCGUAUCCUUUUGAGCCGGCUCGGCGAGGGAUGAAAUAAUCUUUUUUGUUGCCUCAAAAGAUAAAGUGUCGACGAGUGAAUAG